CCAUCCAUGAUCCUGGCCAAUGGGAAGCUGCACACGCCUCCUCCACGCCAGAAGGAGCUCCAGAAAAAGCGUUUGUGCAUGUGUGUGCGCGCACACUCAGGCCCACCGUGGCAUCUGCAGGACUGUGAACUGGCCCAGGCCACAAAAACUUUGCCGACCCCUGGGCUAGAUGCUGAAGAGGCAACAGGCUUUAGCGAGCAGGAGGAGCCAAGGACAGAAAGCAGACCAGACUCAGCAGAUGAAGUGUCUCAGUUGCUUGCUGCUCCUACUGUCAUAAGUUUCUCUCCUGCAUUGUCCCCAAAGCCAUGGAGGGCUAUGCGUGUAGCAGAGCAACAGGCACAGAUCCAACCCAGUCCCCCUGCCCUGGUGUAAUUUAAGGCUGCUUGGGAAACAUACAGCUUGGGAGGAGAUUUAGGGGGAAGUAGAAGAAAAAGACCUUCAUUUCUGGCAACCAUUUCGUAGUGGCCACUCUUGUCUGUAGGCAUUGCUGCCUGGUAUACUGCUUUCUUAAAGAAAGAGCUAACUUUUCUGACCUGACACCAUCAUUGCCUUUUGGCUUGUUGUAUGUCCAGUUUUUCCUGUAUAAUUUAAAGGUAACUUCUGCAUAUGUACCUGGGAUUAAAUCCAAUAAAGCCCAUCUGAUGUGUACAUGAUAGUGCUGUUAAACUUGAGACAUAUGCAGACCUACUUGUGUCUCUGCCUGCCCUCUUUCUUACACACACACACACACACACACACACACACACACACACACCCCUUUCUGUCUCUCUCACGUACAAAUACAUAAUACCUGGUACCUUUUCAAUGCAAAGCAGGUGAGCUACUACUUACCUACGUCCCUUCCCCAAUAUAAUGCAGGAGAUAAGUUAGGAAUAGUUUGCAUUCAGAAAUAAAAUAAAAAUCAUUAGAAGUCACAAUGGUGGUGGUGGGAAUCAGGACCACAUCCCUUGUGUCUGUUUCCAGACUGGAAUAAUCUCCCCAGAGCUGGUAUUUUCUCCACAGGAACACGCUACUGCUAUCACACAGCAACUUAAAAUAGCUGCUUGAAGGAGAGUGUCCUGUUGGGAUCCUCACACAACUCAGGAGAUCUUAUUUAUGGGUCUUCCAUGUCAUGUCUAGUUUGGCUCUCAUGGUAAAAGUCUAUGUCUCCUGGUGGGGAACAGCACAGCCAGUGGGUCAUGGUGGGCUGGUUAAAAUCAGUCUCACAGCACUGUGGGCCCCCUUGAAGUCAGGGGCUACAUGGGAACAUCUUGAGGGCCACAAGUCCUCACCUCACACGCAGUCUAUACCUUUCCUUAUCUGUCUGACAUUCUGACCGUUUUCAUAGCUUAUUCUAAACUAUUCCCUGUGAAUGGGACUUGCUCUCCAUGUGCGUGUAUAGUCUUACUGAGGUUGCUUUAUGAAAAACACAGGACCCUUGAGAAGGUGACUAGAGUAAUUCCCUCUUCUUUUCUAACUGCAUAUGAUUCCUUCCCUUGCAUUUCCCAGUGCAUCUUGCCUGGAUGUAUCUGGCAGGCUUCAGAUUCUCUAGGGACUAUAUUGUUUAUAUUGAAUAUAUGCCUUGCACAGUUUAUAUUGAAUAUAUGCCUUGCACAGUCAUUGUUUAACAAAUACGGUCUUUCUCAUGACAGCUUCUUCCAUCUGAAGAUUUCUGUAGCCAGAAUUGUUGGUUGCUCUCCUUACUCAGGGUAUAUCCACUUCCUUUACCUUUCUCCAUUUCCAUCCGAUUGGGUGUUCAAAGCUUCGUUCGUGCGAGCAAGGCUUAUCUGUUGUUGCAUUACAUCACAGCAUAUUGUUGGGAGAGAGGUAUGAUUACUUGAUAACCGCCUAUUCCUUUAGCCUCUGGAACAUUUCCCUGGCUUGAGCAUGGGGUAACUGACAACCUGAACAGCAAUUCCUCUUUUCAAAUCACCCGUCUUUUAAACCAAGGUCUUAAUGUGAGCACUCUCCUGAACAUUACAACAAGAAGGAUAAAAAAUAAACGUGAGAAACGGAGACGUCAUCUUUUCCAACCCCACCAUAACAUCAAAAGGAGAGCUCUGGAUGCAGAAGCGGUUCACACAUAUCCACAUGAGGGAAAUACAUAAUCUCUGCCGUCUCACUUACAGUGUAAGCAGGAAAGGGGGAAGCCGAGGUUACCCGUGUUUCCUCUAUCUCUGCUUACAUUUUAAAGGGAUGGCCAAGUGCUUUUUUUAAAACAGUGACAUCAGAACAGCCUUCUUUGGCAUUCUAGACCAAAUUUCUGUUUUCAUCCUGGUCAGACCUUUCAUUGAGGCCUGUCUGGAGUUUGUGCCGGGUGAGGGGAGACACAGCAGAAGUAGAUCCCUUUGAUCCACACUCAUCUUAUGGGGAACAAAGACAGCAUUUAAGUUUCAGGGCUGCCUUUGCAUAAACCUAAGGCCUGCGGUGACCUGAACUCUGAAAUUGCCAUCCUCAUUGGAAGAUAGAUGGUUUUAAUUUGACAAGGGAGUUCUCUGCCAAGAAGCUUCUUAAAUAUGUUUCGUCCUCAUUUAAGUCCAUUGUGGGCUCCCCUUCCUUGGAUGUUUUUAAGCUGAGGUUGGAUGGCCAUUGGUCAUGGAUGCUUUAGUUGGGAUUCCUGCAUUGCAGGAGUCUAGACUUACUGUAUAAAAUGGGUUUAUGUAUGCAGAGAAAAAAGACAAGAUUGGGUUAAGUUAGGUGUGCCGGUUAAUUUUGGGUGUGUUUGUCCUGCAACUGCAACCAGUUAAGCUGUUUCAAAGGGUAAAUCUGGAAGCUGUAUGUUUGGCAGCUAGUAGUUACCACUCGAAAUAUCCUUUGCAUUGUGUCCUUCAUGUUGGUCCUGCAACAUAUAGUAUUUUCUUUCAUGUGACUAUAUAUAUUUGGAAAGCCCUUGUCAACUUCUGCUUUUAGAUUCCCAUGGUAUCCAGACAAACAUACUUUAGUUAACAUGAACUAUGGUUAGAGUCAACCAAACCAGUUGCAAACCUUGGUGUCAUGGUUAAUGAUAACCACAUUUCUGGAUCCAGACAAUAGUUUUUUUGUUGAUUGGUUUGUUUUGAUAGUCCUGGUCAUUGACUGGUUAUUUUUAGGCAGCAUUUAACAAGUACUAAGUAAUGGUGAAUGUGUUGUGCAAUAUCUAUGAUCAUAACAUCUUGUGUGACACAAGCCACUUGGCCAUUUCACAGUUUUACAUUCCACCCCCUCAAGAAUACACAUAAAAUAUUUUAAAUGAGCAUCUAAAAAAAUAUUCAGUAUGAAUGCAAGCACACGAAUCAUAACAUGAAUCAUCAGGGGGCAGUUUCCUGUUGAGUAUACUCAGUAAGAAAUUUUCUCUGUGAGAUGUAUAAAGUGUUCCUCAUUGUUCCAUUUUUUUUUCAUGGUCUGUGUAUGCACACACAUGUAUUAUAUUUCUUUCUUCGGUUUUGUUUCUGUCACUGUCCAGACAGAAUUACUUCCCUGAUUAUUGAAUGUAAUUGGAUUAAAUUUAGGACUGUUGAUUUCAUGGCUCUAUAGAGGGCACAUGUAUUCCAAAUGGGAUUAUUCACAAUUACAUACACUUAAACAUUUAAUUUUAUCCAUAUUUCCAAAUAUGUUUAUGUACUUGUUCAUGCAUGUCAUGCAAAAAAUAUAUAUGAAUAUUUGAAAUUUUGCAUUCUCAGUUGGAACAGUUGUUUGAAAAAUGUAGAGAGAGCACCACUUUUUUGCACGAAGUUCUGGCCAUAAAGCAUUUUCUUAUUUCUUACAGAUUACUGCAUAUUGCUUACAUUCAGACUGCUGUAAUUAACCCACAGUUGCUUAUUUAGUUAAUAAUUUUGUAUUCUGGUUAAAUUUGAUGGAUGCCAGCACAGGAAUGUGUUGGUGGUUAAAAGUAAGUGAUGAUCCAGCACUAGUCUAUCUGAGAUAAAUUGUGCCAUUUCUAAAACAGGAAUCCACAAUCCUAUGCUUAUUUAUUUAUUUAUCCUUUAGAUAUACUGGGAUGCAAAUAUAAACAUCCAUUAAGCUUAAAUUAGAUACCCCCUGUAAUUACCAAACAAUUCUGGCUGCUCUGUAGUUUUCAUUGCAAUUAACUGUUUGGGAAAUACAGUCUUCCUAAAUAAUAUAAUGGAACCAGCUACUGUGAGUUCGCCAGCUCAUUCAACACCUGAUAUACUUUCCUUACAGAAUAAAUGAUGCAAACUAUUUCUACUAAGAUAGCCUGAACCAUCCAUGUAAGAAUUGCAUGUAAAUUUAAUUUUUCUAAACCCCCGUGACUUGGAUAAGAGGAACAAAACUCGAAGUCCCUCCCUGCCCUAGAGCAAUUCUUUUUCAUGAUUUUAUAUGAAAUAUGGGUGCCCAAGAUUAUUACGUGUUAAUCUUUUAUGUGGGUUACAGAAUUAAAACGCAGUAUUGAAAAGAAUUUAAGACAGCUCGUGAUCAUAAAAAUAAGAUGCAUGCUACAAACAUGCAGCUCAAGUGUCAAAAGGCAGGGGAAAGAGGUGAGGAUAACCCUUAAACUUGCUAUUUGCCGCAUAGUUGUGUGGGGAUGAUCUUUCCUUUCAUUAGAAGAACAAAACCAGAUGGAACUAGGUGUGUGGAGGUGGAACUGUUCUUCAUAUCCUUCCAUUUCGAAACGGCAAAUGGAGGAAGCGUCCCUCUUUUCCUUGGAACAGUCAGUGUGGCCUCAUGCUUGCGCCAUGAUUCUGUAAUGUAUGAGACGUUGAUCUGUAGGGGUCAGCAGCACUGUGUUCCAGAACCCCUGUUUUUUGGACCAUGUCCCUUUCUGUUUACACACAUGCCCCAUUUCAAAGUACGAAAAUUGUGGAGAAGAUGGCUGUCAUCAUUACUGUAGCCUCUUCCAUUUUAAUUACGUUUACGGACUGAACUGCAAGCUCGGCAGCUCAAAGUAGGAGGCAGUCCAUGUUCUUGCAUGAUUAUGGUUUUCUAACAUUGGCCCUGGAAUUUAGUUGGAAGUGUGGCUGGGGAAAAAGUUCGGUACAUAAACUCACCAGCAUUAACAAGUCUAGUGUCUACAUUUUUAAACACACACACACACACACACGAGUGUAUCUGAAGAUCAUUAUUAAAAUUUAAAAAAAGCAGGGGAAGGGCAAUAAAUGUAGUAGUCAUUGUAUCACUGCAGUAUGUGUGUGUGACACAUGGUUUUUGUCUUUUCAUCUUCCACAAGAGCCAAAAGUUUCCUGCCGCUCUCUUUCCAGCUAUUGACAAAUGAUUGCCAGAUGUGAGGUUUUUUGCAGUGCUCUUUCCCCCCCUCAGCAAACCUGCAGCGAUGGGAUAUUUGAUUCUCCCUUGCCCAUUUCAUCUCCUUCCCACAUCUGCCAGGGACACACAAGCAAUACAUCCCUACAUGAGAGUUUAAAGUUUACUCAAGCUCCUUCUCUACUUCCUCGCUCCCCCAACCCACCCGGCUCUCUCCAUCAGAUAAAGCUUUUUUUCUGAGAGACAACUGAUUGAAGUCAAUAACGACUCUUUGCAAUUCUCCAACGGCCUUAGGAAUAUGUUGUUUUAAUUAUCUGCAUCAAGGUAACACUGUUAAGUUUUAUUUAUUUUUGAGAUGAUAGGUGGGGAAAGUAUGAUGUAACUUGGUUCCUGUGGCUGUCAGGCUUAUAGGAGCUCUUCAGGCUCUUGAGAACAUCGCAUAUCUUUUUUUGUGGGAUCUUCUGGUAAAGUCGCUGUAGGAACUGGCUAACUUCUAAAAGAGCACCUAUGAACACCCCCUACAGAAAAAAAACACACAUUAGACAUUUAAAUGAUGGGGAGGGUUAAUACUUCAACAGCUUAAAAAAAAAAGAGAGAGAGAGAGACAUUCCCCAGUUCCCUUGAUAAUUGUUCUAAGUGAUUUUAAAGAGAGAGAGAGCUGUUUCUGAAAUAGCUUAUAAUAACAGUAAGAAAUGGCCACAUAUAGAAGCAGCAGCAAAUAAAGACACUUUUAAGGGUGGCUGGUUUAUGCUGAUGAGUCCAUCCCUCCAAAUGUCCCCCUUUAAAAUAGUUUCUAUUAAAAAUCACAUUUUUCUCCCCGGCCUGUUCAAUAGGGUGACCUCUUUUUUUUUUUUUUUUAAUAAUAUUUAUUACUUUUCCAACAAUUUGAACACACAACAAAAUAAAAAGAAGAAAGAACAAUACAAUACAAUACAACACAAUACAAUACAAUACAAAAACACUACACAACACAUUAAACU